rnacentral:lncRNA from 13 species
UGAUUGUGUAAACCACCCCUCCAGACGUGUGCUGCGGGACACAUUUCUCCAUGGCUUCAGCGUGACUGGUCCUGGGCACUGGAGCUGCUGCACAUUCCAUUGUAGAGGAUGCAAUAGAGCUACGUUAACCUCAACUACUGCCCUCGGGUUAUGAUGUUAAGAGAUGAGGCUACAUCUUCGGUGUUCGAGGCUCUUCAAGAAGCAUGUGGCACAACUGCACAGGUAGCCAAGAUCAAGCAUUUGGAUUCCUACAUUGAUUAUUAUAGUUCCCAGAAAUGUUAAUAUAUUUGCUCUCGGAUCUACCCUACAACAAAACGAGCAUUGUCAAAUUGCUACACCCAUAUCAUCAUUCACAACAGGAUGCAGUGGCUCAUGACCAUAAUCCCAGCACUUUGGGAGGCCCAGGUGGAUGGAUCACCUAAUGUCAGGAGUUCAAGACCA